AGCUCCGGGAGUUGGUGAUGGAAUGGGAGGCCUGGAGUGCUGCAGUCCGUGGGGUCGCAAAGAGUUGGUCACGACUGAGUGACUGAACUGACCUGAGAGUGAGAUGGGACAGCCAUACUAGAAUUUAGAUUUGAUUAGAUCAUGAGUCCUGGCUGACACUGCUCCCUUUACAUUGACCAUUCUUAAUAUAAAGCAAAUAGAUACAGAAAGCUGAGACUUUUGCUGUAUUAUUCUAAUUCUACAAAAUCAUUUUUUGUUAUUGUUUUCUGUUUACUUGUUUUCAUAAAAUUCUAUGAUUGAAACAGGCAGUCACUUUGAUAUUUUUCAAGCAUGGUAGAGCUGUAUUCAGGCUUCCCAGGUGGCGCUAGUGGUAAAGAACCUGCCUGCAAUGCAGUAGAUAAGGGUUUGAUCCCUGGGUCGGGAAGAGCCCCUGGAUGAGGGCAUGGCAACCCACUCAGUAUUCUUGCCUGGAGACUCCCAUGGACAGAGGAGCCUGGUGGGCUACAGUCCAUAGGUUUGCAGAGUUGGACAUGGCUGAAUUGACUUAGCACGUACACAGAGCUCAAAUCUCAAACUUCAGGGACCAAAGUCAGAUUACCAGUGAAGAGGAAGCUGAAAUUCAAGGCCUCUGUGAACUGAGCUUUCUGAAUUUCCUCUCCUUAGCAUUACAGAGAGUCAUUUUUUUUUUUUUCUUACCAUGCAUUACGUCUGCCUGGAUCAUGAUGCCAAAGAAUUGGAAUCAGAUACUUAUGUUGCACCCUACAUUUAGGUUAAAAAUUUCAAAGCUUAAAUUAGCACCUCCAAAGGAUACAGCAUUCUUAGCUUUUAACUCCAAAAAUAAUGUUACAUAUUCCCCAAAUGUUUUUUAGAAAUCUAUUUUUCUCCCGUUCACUUAUACUUCAUCAUUUCAUUCAUCCCAUUGUGGUCAGCUGGGCUAGGAAGAGAAGAAAGGAGCAAGCGAUGUGAUUGGUUUGUGGAUGGUUGAAAAUGUGCAUUUGCCAUUUGGUUGGGUGAUUUGUCCUUUAAGAUGGAGCCUGAGCCUAUAAAAAAAUUGAAGUGGGAUCCGAAUGUGGCAAAAUGUAUUUGCUUUUCUUAGAUAAAUCUGUUAGUCUGGGUGUGCUGUAAAAUGGCAUUAUUCCUCCACUGGAAAUUGCACUUCCUACGCAACAUACGCCACUCUGCCUUCCCUCACAGACUUCCCCAAGCAAAGUUCAAAAUCUCUUCUGCAUAUGUUGUCAAUGUCAUAAGGAAACCAUGAGACCAUGACUUUAGUUCCUCGUUUAGGCUCAUCUGAGAAGCACUUCAAGCACUUGAAAAUACUGUGCAACUUCCUUCUGGCCUCCACUGUUUUAGGGAUGGCUCUGUUCCCAACCACGAUCAUCACACGCUAAGUUGCAAAACAGAAGAACGAGAAGGGCAACUCUGGUCUGGGGAGUCCCUGGGGCUGGCUGUUCGUGAGAAUGGUCUCAAAGGGGCUCACCUCCCUCCAGAGGGCCAAGGACAACUGAACUGGAGAAUGAAAAUGAAAGUGAAAAAGUCACUCAGUCGUGUCUCUCUUUGCGACCCCAUGGACUGUAGCCUGCCAAGGUCCUUCGUCCAUGGAAUUUCCCAGGCAAGAGUUCUGGA